UAAGGGAUGGAGUGGGGAGGGGGCAUUCAGAGAGCAGGUCCCCUGGAGAGACUGAACGGGGGCUUUUCCCUCCAGUCACCCCAAAUCAUCUGUCUGGUUUGUUUUGGGGCCUCGCAGGUCUGCCUUUCGGGGGGCUCCGGGGUGAGGUGCCAGGAUGGCGAUGGGCGAGCAGCUGCUGCGCAUCCUGGAUGAUCUGACCAAGGAGGAGUUUGAGAAGUUCAAGUUUUACCUGCCCCAUGGGGGCACGGCUCCCCACAUACGCCGCGGGAAGCUGGACGGCGCCUCCCACAUCCAGGUGGCUGCGCUGCUGAUGCAGACGUACCCCCAGGAAGCGCUAGACAUCACCAACCAGGUGCUGCGCAAGAUCCCAAGGCUGGACCUGGUCCAGAGCGGCCAGCUCCAGACAGGAGGAGAAACUGGGAACAGCGGCAACGAUGCAAAUCACAGUGAGGCUGCAAAUAGCAGCGCCAGGGCAGAGAGGCAGAGUCUGGUUUCAGAGCAGCAGCUGAUGAAGCUGGCAGGGAAAAUGGGCAAGACCUGGAGGCAGAUCGGCAUUGAGUUCCUGGGCCUGGAGAAUCACUGUCUGGAGCAGAUCGAGGAGAACAAUCCCGGCAACACCAAACUGCGAGCUUUCAGCAUGCUCUUGGAGUGGAGGAAACGAGCGAAGCAGGAUGCCACCGUCAUCCAUCUUUGCACCAUUCUCUCCCAGGACGAUGUGCCCCUCCAGCCCGAAGCCCUCGACUGCCUCCGGGACAAAUGCAGGGCCUAAGGAGAUCUGGGGGGCUUAGUCCAGGGCAGCGGGUCUCAACCAAGGGUCUGUGAGCAGGGCCAGCGUUAGCCACUCUGGGGCCCAGGGCAGGAAGCCAAAGACCUGCUGUGCCCUGCCUCCGGGGCUGAAGCCGAAGCCUGAGCAACGUAGGCUGGCGUGGGACCCCAGGCGCUGCCCUGCUUACUAGCCUCUAACACUAGCCUUGGCUUUUAUAUGCAGAAAAACAAUUGUUUUGGCACUGGUGGGCCAUGGAGUUUUUAUAGCAUUGGGUGGGGCGGGGGGAAUGGCACUCAGAAAGAAAAAGGUUGAGAACCCCAAGUCCAGGGGGUGGAGUGGCCUUGUGAUUAAAGGACUAGCAUGGUACUCUGGGGACCUUGAUUCAAUUGGCAGUGGUGCUUUAGUUUUGGGGUGUCUGAUUUAAGACACACACACACACACACCCAGGGCCUGACUUGCAGAGAGGCCGAGCACCCACCGCUCCUGUUGAUCUUAGCAGGAGUGGAGGGUGCUCAGAAACCAGGCCCUCAGUGGCACCCAGGAAUCAUUGGCCACUUUGGAAAAUGCUGGCCUCUGUCCUGUGCCUCGGUUUACCUACAUGUGCAAUGGGGAAAACCUGGCCAGAUUCUCUAAAGAACUCAGUGUCCAGCAGCUCCCAUUGCUCUACCCCAGCCAGGGAGGCCCUUGUGCGGGGGAGGGGGUUACUCAGGAGGCCGGAUGUACUUCCUUUCAAUCCACUUUCACUGCUAGCAGUCUCAAGUGCCACCGAGUCAGGCCCCAGAUAUGUAUCUGGUUGCUUCCCCCAUCCAGCCUACCACCAAUUGCUAGCUGGGGUGGGUCAGUCCAGCAGGGAGCCCAGAACAGCCCCAGGGAAUGGAUCCAGGCGUGGGGGCAGAAGGAGGGGGAGGAGACACCUGUGAUCUGGGGCAGCUAUAAAGUGGGAGACCCUGUGGUGGCUGGGCUGGGCUCUUCCCCACUCACAGGGACAUCACUUGAAGAAGAACCUGGGGAUCCUUUCCCCCAGGCCUCUCCCUGGGGGAUCCACUCCCCCGAUCUCGCCUUGGGGUCUCGUCUAGGCAGCUCUUUUUUAAAGACCGUUUUUACCAAGAAGCACAAUUGAAGCCUUUUUGUACUUGCAAAGAAAUAAACGUCCUCAAAGCCAGCA
rnacentral:lncRNA from 1 species